GACGAACGCUGGCGGCGUGCCUAAUACAUGCAAGUUGAGCGCUGAAGGUUGGUACUUGUACCAACUGGAUGAGCAGCGAACGGGUGAGUAACGCGUGGGGAAUCUGCCUUUGAGCGGGGGACAACAUUUGGAAACGAAUGCUAAUACCGCAUAAAAACUUUAAACACAAGUUUUAAGUUUGAAAGAUGCAAUUGCAUCACUCAAAGAUGAUCCCGCGUUGUAUUAGCUAGUCGGUGAGGUAAAGGCUCACCAAGGCGAUGAUACAUAGCCGACCUGAGAGGGUGAUCGGCCACAUUGGGACUGGGACACGGCCCAAACUCCUACGGGAGGCAGCAGUAGGGAAUCUUCGGCAAUGGACGAAAGUCUGACCGAGCAACGCCGCGUGAGUGAAGAAGGGUUUCGGAUCGUAAAACUCUGUUGGUAGAGAAGAACGUUGGUGAGAGUGGAAAGCUCAUCAAGUGACGGUAACUACACAGAAAGGGACGGCUAACUACGUG
rnacentral:rRNA from 1 species